GAUGAACGCUAGCUACAGGCUUAACACAUGCAAGUCGAGGGGCAGCAUGAACAUAGCUUGCUAUGUUUGAUGGCGACCGGCGCACGGGUGCGUAACACGUAUCCAAUCUACCCAUGGCUCGGGGAUAGCCUUUCGAAAGAAAGAUUAAUACCCGAUGGUCUCGGUUUAAGGCAUCUUAGACUGAGUAAAGAUUUAUCGGCGAUGGAUGAGGAUGCGUCUGAUUAGGUAGAUGGCGGGGUAAUGGCCCACCAUGCCUACGAUCAGUAGGGGUUCUGAGAGGAAGGUCCCCCACACUGGAACUGAGACACGGUCCAGACUCCUACGGGAGGCAGCAGUGAGGAAUAUUGGUCAAUGGGCGAGAGCCUGAACCAGCCAAGUAGCGUGAAGGAAGACUGCCCUAUGGGUUGUAAACUUCUUUUGUUCGGGAAUAAAGUGCAGUAUGUAUACUGUUUGUAUGUACCGUUCGAAUAAGCAUCGGCUAAUUCCG
rnacentral:rRNA from 1 species